rnacentral:rRNA from 1 species
GACGAACGCUGGCGGCGUGCCUAAUACAUGCAAGUAGAACGCUGAAGAGAGGAGCUUGCUCUUCUUGGAUGAGUUGCGAACGGGUGAGUAACGCGUAGGUAACCUGCCUGGUAGCGGGGGAUAACUAUUGGAAACGAUAGCUAAUACCGCAUAAAAUUGAUUAUUGCAUGAUAAUUAAUUGAAAGAUGCAACUGCAUCACUACCAGAUGGACCUGCGCUGUAUUAGCUAGUUGGUGAGGUAACGGCUCACCAAGGCGACGAUACAUAGCCGACCUGAGAGGGUGAUCGGCCACACUGGGACUGAGACACGGCCCAGACUCCUACGGGAGGCAGCAGUAGGGAAUCUUCGGCAAUGGGGGGAACCCUGACCGAGCAACGCCGCGUGAGUGAAGAAGGGUGUCGGAUCGUAAAGCUCUGUUGUAAGAGAAGAACGGGUGUGAGAGUGGAAAGUUCACACUGUGACGGUAUCUGACCAGAAAGGGACGGCUAACUACGUG